UACAGAGGGUGCGAGCGUUAAUCGGAAUUACUGGGCGUAAAGCGUGCGUAGACGGUUAUCUAAGUCGGAUGUGAAAGCCCCGGGCUCAACCUGGGAAUUGCAUUCGAGACUGAAUAGCUAGGGUGCGGUAGAGGGAAGCGGAAUUUCCGGUGUAGCGGUGAAAUGCGUAGAUAUCGGAAGGAACAUCAGUGGCGAAAGCGGCUUCCUGGACCCGCACCGACGUUCAGGCACGAAAGCGUGGGGAGCAAACAGG
rnacentral:rRNA from 1 species